rnacentral:rRNA from 1 species
GGGUUGUGAGGUUAAGCGACUAAGCGUACACGGUGGAUGCCCUGGCAGUCAGAGGCGAUGAAGGACGUGCUAAUCUGCGAUAAGCGUCGGUAAGGUGAUAUGAACCGUUAUAACCGGCGAUUUCCGAAUGGGGAAACCCAGUGUGAUUCGUCACACUAUCAUUAACUGAAUCCAUAGGUUAAUGAGGCGAACCGGGGGAACUGAAACAUCUAAGUACCCCGAGGAAAAGAAAUCAACCGAGAUUCCCCCAGUAGCGGCGAGCGAACGGGGAGCAGCCCAGAGCCUGAAUCAGUGUGUGUGUUAGUGGAAGCGUCUGGAAAGGCGCGCGAUACAGGGUGACAGCCCCGUACACAAAAAUGCACAUGCUGUGAGCUCGAUGAGUAGGGCGGGACACGUGGUAUCCUGUCUGAAUAUGGGGGGACCAUCCUCCAAGGCUAAAUACUCCUGACUGACCGAUAGUGAACCAGUACCGUGAGGGAAAGGCGAAAAGAACCCCGGCGAGGGGAGUGAAAAAGAACCUGAAACCGUGUACGUACAAGCAGUGGGAGCACGCUUAGGCGUGUGACUGCGUACCUUUUGUAUAAUGGGUCAGCGACUUAUAUUCUGUAGCAAGGUUAACCGAAUAGGGGAGCCGAAGGGAAACCGAGUCUUAACUGGGCGUUAAGUUGCAGGGUAUAGACCCGAAACCCGGUGAUCUAGCCAUGGGCAGGUUGAAGGUUGGGUAACACUAACUGGAGGACCGAACCGACUAAUGUUGAAAAAUUAGCGGAUGACUUGUGGCUGGGGGUGAAAGGCCAAUCAAACCGGGAGAUAGCUGGUUCUCCCCGAAAGCUAUUUAGGUAGCGCCUCGUGAAUUCAUCUCCGGGGGUAGAGCACUGUUUCGGCAAGGGGGUCAUCCCGACUUACCAACCCGAUGCAAACUGCGAAUACCGGAGAAUGUUAUCACGGGAGACACACGGCGGGUGCUAACGUCCGUCGUGAAGAGGGAAACAACCCAGACCGCCAGCUAAGGUCCCAAAGUCAUGGUUAAGUGGGAAACGAUGUGGGAAGGCCCAGACAGCCAGGAUGUUGGCUUAGAAGCAGCCAUCAUUUAAAGAAAGCGUAAUAGCUCACUGGUCGAGUCGGCCUGCGCGGAAGAUGUAACGGGGCUAAACCAUGCACCGAAGCUGCGGCAGCGACGCUGAUGCGUUGUUGGGUAGGGGAGCGUUCUGUAAGCCUGUGAAGGUGUGCUGUGAGGCAUGCUGGAGGUAUCAGAAGUGCGAAUGCUGACAUAAGUAACGAUAAAGCGGGUGAAAAGCCCGCUCGCCGGAAGACCAAGGGUUCCUGUCCAACGUUAAUCGGGGCAGGGUGAGUCGACCCCUAAGGCGAGGCCGAAAGGCGUAGUCGAUGGGAAACAGGUUAAUAUUCCUGUACUUGGUGUUACUGCGAAGGGGGGACGGAGAAGGCUAUGUUGGCCGGGCGACGGUUGUCCCGGUUUAAGCGUGUAGGCUGGUUUUCCAGGCAAAUCCGGAAAAUCAAGGCUGAGGCGUGAUGACGAGGCACUACGGUGCUGAAGCAACAAAUGCCCUGCUUCCAGGAAAAGCCUCUAAGCAUCAGGUAACAUCAAAUCGUACCCCAAACCGACACAGGUGGUCAGGUAGAGAAUACCAAGGCGCUUGAGAGAACUCGGGUGAAGGAACUAGGCAAAAUGGUGCCGUAACUUCGGGAGAAGGCACGCUGAUAUGUAGGUGAAGCGACUUGCUCGUGGAGCUGAAAUCAGUCGAAGAUACCAGCUGGCUGCAACUGUUUAUUAAAAACACAGCACUGUGCAAACACGAAAGUGGACGUAUACGGUGUGACGCCUGCCCGGUGCCGGAAGGUUAAUUGAUGGGGUCAGCGCAAGCGAAGCUCUUGAUCGAAGCCCCGGUAAACGGCGGCCGUAACUAUAACGGUCCUAAGGUAGCGAAAUUCCUUGUCGGGUAAGUUCCGACCUGCACGAAUGGCGUAAUGAUGGCCAGGCUGUCUCCACCCGAGACUCAGUGAAAUUGAACUCGCUGUGAAGAUGCAGUGUACCCGCGGCAAGACGGAAAGACCCCGUGAACCUUUACUAUAGCUUGACACUGAACAUUGAGCCUUGAUGUGUAGGAUAGGUGGGAGGCUUUGAAGUGUGGACGCCAGUCUGCAUGGAGCCGGCCUUGAAAUACCACCCUUUAAUGUUUGAUGUUCUAACGUUGACCCGUGAUCCGGGUUGCGGACAGUGUCUGGUGGGUAGUUUGACUGGGGCGGUCUCCUCCUAAAGAGUAACGGAGGAGCACGAAGGUUGGCUAAUCCUGGUCGGACAUCAGGAGGUUAGUGCAAUGGCAUAAGCCAGCUUGACUGCGAGCGUGACGGCGCGAGCAGGUGCGAAAGCAGGUCAUAGUGAUCCGGUGGUUCUGAAUGGAAGGGCCAUCGCUCAACGGAUAAAAGGUACUCCGGGGAUAACAGGCUGAUACCGCCCAAGAGUUCAUAUCGACGGCGGUGUUUGGCACCUCGAUGUCGGCUCAUCACAUCCUGGGGCUGAAGUAGGUCCCAAGGGUAUGGCUGUUCGCCAUUUAAAGUGGUACGCGAGCUGGGUUUAGAACGUCGUGAGACAGUUCGGUCCCUAUCUGCCGUGGGCGCUGGAGAACUGAGGGGGGCUGCUCCUAGUACGAGAGGACCGGAGUGGACGCAUCACUGGUGUUCGGGUUGUCAUGCCAAUGGCACUGCCCGGUAGCUAAAUGCGGAAGAGAUAAGUGCUGAAAGCAUCUAAGCACGAAACUUGCCCCGAGAUGAGUUCUCCCUGACUCCUUGAGAGUCCUGAAGGAACGUUGAAGACGACGACGUUGAUAGGCCGGGUGUGUAAGCGCAGCGAUGCGUUGAGCUAACCGGUACUAAUGAACCGUGAGGCUUAACCUUACAACGCCGAAG